AGGCGCUGGGGAGCAGAGUCCGCUCCUCCACAGGACCAGGGCUCGGCGUCUGUCUAGGCCCACAGCUGCCCUUCCCGGAAUUGCUCCCCACCCACAGCACAGCAGGCUGGGGCUUUCCUGCUGCAGAGGACCCCUGGGGCAGCACCCCCAGCCCAGGGAGAAGAGAGGGGGCAGCUGGCUGUCAGCACUACCACUGUGCAACUGCGGUGACCUCUUCAGGGCAUCAGAGUGGCGGCCUCCCGCUGCAGUGGAGUCUGGACCCCGGGCACCUGCAGGGGACCAGAGGGAAGGGAGGAGCUGGGAGCAGUCUCUGCAGACAGGAGUGGACCAAGGGCUGGCUGUGCUUGGGCUACUGUGUGAAAUGCCCUGAAACUUGGAUGGGAGAAACUCACACUGCAGUUGAGAAACACUGAGUGCGUCACUGCCAUAGGCAUGGUAAUUUAGAUUUACUGCCUGAAUAAUGGAGCCUAUAUGUCAGUGGCAGCCCUGUGGGCUACCCUCAAACUGUGCACUCUGCACUGCUGGGCACUGGGGGUCACAGGCACAAGAGGCCUCAGAGUUCCCUGCAUCGUGUACUGGUGUGGAACUUGUUCUGAUGGACACCAAGUCACUGACUCCUCCCAAGCUCCAGGGACAGGGACAGUUCCUUCCCCCCAUCCUAGAGAAUGCCCCAGCAGCUGACUGGGAUUCUCCAGGAUCCAGAAUGAGGCUAGGGAUCUACAUCAGAGCCAGCAAACUGCAGGGUUCUGAGGAGCAGGCCCCAGUUGCACUCGGAGUCCCCAGGGAGCUCUGCCUACAGCUCUGUCCCGGACUCACAGGGCAGCUUGCUCCUCUUAGCUUACUGGGCCCUGGGGCUGCCACACAACUCAGCCCCACUCCCUUCCUGCAGGGAGCAGUUACCCCUCUCCAUCUGAACCCCACCUUCAGCCCCUGGGUAGCCAGAGCACCUGCCAAGUGUUUGGCUGAAAGGCUGGCCCUCUCCUUGCCUAGGGGAGCAGAGAGGGGUGAAAGAGCAGCCCCCUCCCCCCCCCCACUCUGAGCUUACAGGGCCUGGGCCAUGCUCUCUUCAUGAGGCCAAGAGGACAGGCCUGGGGAGGCCGCAGGGAUGGCUCAGGAGAAGCCCAGCUCCAGCUGGCAUCCGGAGUGCAGAGCUUGGCUCAUGGCCUCUGUCCUUCUGCUUUCAGGGCCUUGUAAUAUCUGUUCUCAAAGUCCUGAUGGGAGGUUCAGCUGUUGCCCCAGCUAUGAUUGGUAAAGGGAUAAUUUCUGCUUCAGGAGCUGGAGCUAACACUGACCUCAAUAUGACCAUGAAAGACACAAGAGGUCUCCUCCAAAGGCCCAUAAACAGAGCUAAGGGUUCUACAAGCAGCUUUCACUGGAGCUACAGGGGUUCUACUUGUCCAGGUUCCUGUCCCACUGCUGGCCUCCUGGACCUCCAGCCUCAGCUCAGCCUGGGCAGUCCUGCUGCUCCUCUCCCAAAGAGAAGAUGGAGACUGAGACCAACAGCUAGGUCCCUCCUGGCCCUGUGCUGUGUGUGUGGCUCCCACUAACCACCUUGUGUGCUUCCCUGCCUUGAGCCCUGGAGAUACAAAUAUAUGUAGCUAAUCACCUCUUUUCAGUCACUCAUUCAUUUAACAAAUUAUACAUUUGAUACAUACAUAUGAAGCAUUUGUUCAUCAUGUUAGGUCUUCCACCAUGGCAGGACAUGGGGAAUGUUGUAAACAUGACUUUGUCCUAGACCUCUAGGACCUUUCAGGCUCCCAAGAGCUUCAGCAGAUGUAUUCGCCGGGUUUUCCUCAUAGGCUAUUUAUGCAGAAAAGAGAGGUUUAUGCCUCUCAGUUUGGGGAGUUCAAAGCUAUGGCACCUCCAUUGGCUAAUAUAGUGUAAAAACUACAAUGAAAGCAUGGGUUGCAGUUAAGGACAAGGGGAGGGCUGGGAAGGAAAAUAAAGCACGUUAUUACAUGCAUGAAUACAAGGAAAAAAACUCAAUAUUCCCUAUCAUGAAUAUGCACUAAUAAAUUUGUUGGCAGAGUUUCAGAUUCCAUGCUGCAAAUAUAAAGAAAUGAACCCUGGAAUCUGUGCGUUGAGCUUCUCAGUAAAGAUGAGGGGCCGUUUGGGCAGUGGUGAGUGGUGAUUUCAGUUGUCUGAACUGGGGAGACAGGGCGGUGCCCCUGAGCCUCAAUGUGCACCUGUUAGGCGUUUGCCAGGACACUGCUGGACCUGUAUGGUGCGAUGUUCUAGAGUGUAGGUAACCACGGCAGCACCCACAGGUGGCACCUGGAUAGUUCUGUUCACAGACACAGAAGGAAGCCUGUCAGUUUUGGGGCUCUCCUGGGGAGCCAGUGUGGACAGGGGCAGUUUAGGUCCAGGUGGGGGCUGUGUUUGCAUGACAGUGUGAAUUUGAAGUAGAAAACUGUACAUUUGAAAAUGGUUGGGAUGGUUGUGCUUAUUUUAUUACAAUGAAAUAUAAUAAACAAUUUACUAUUUUUUUUAAAGAACACCCAGGUCUAGGAAGCAUCACCAAGUUUUAAAACCCCCAGGUGCCCCCUCUCCCUGUUCCUACAGGAGGCUACAACCCCCACUGUGAUACUGAUUACUACCUUGUCUCUAUAUUCCAGUCACAUAUCUGCAUAUCAGUGCUCCUAAACAAAAGGGAAGAGUUAUCAGGGUUACUCAGGCUCCAAGUUCAUCCUGGGUCCUGGUGGCCCUGGCAGGGCACAGGCUCCUGGGUGGGGCACCUUGCCCACACUGCUGCAGUCUUGAACAGCAUGGAAGAUAGACCUGGGAGAGAAGUGUGUACAUCUGUGUGAGGUCACACGGGCUGUGUAUACAGCAAACAGGAAAUUCUGGCAGGUGAGACGAUCACAAGUUCUAGGCCCACCUGGAUGACCCAUGGAAGAAGAGCGAGGUGGGGGAAAGGUGCAUAACUCAUGGUGGCCAGGAAGCUGACUGGGGGCAAGGUGCCAGAGAGGAAGGGGACAGGGACCAGACCUGCCUGUACCUGAGGCCUCUGUAACUCACCCAGAAGUGUGCUCCACCAGUCUCCAGGGUGGGUCCCAAAGCCAAUCAAGCUGACACAGUGGGGUUUAACUGUCACACAGACAUAGAUAUUCUCACCCCACUAACAGAUGAGGAAAUGGACUCUGAGGGAGCCCUUCUCAGAAACACACUCACUGCUCAGUGGACAAGAGACUGACUCCCAGCCUCCUGAUACACAGCCCAGCACUUUCUCCUAUCGCAGGGUGCUUGCCCACAGUUUCUCUUCUCCCUGAAUGGCUCCAACCCCAUUGAUGAGCCCCAGGCAGGAAAAGGCAAAGACAGCACUCUGCUGACUGGCGGCAGCCUGUGCUGGGCCUCCUUCCUGGGAGAGCAUGGGGUAGGGAUCCUGGGGAGAUGUACUUCCCUCCAUAAGCAGGAGAACCUAGAGUGUUUUAUAAUAAAAAAAAUGAACAAAGGUCCCAUUUAAGAAUCUAUUGCCCUUCUCUCUUUCACUCAUCUUUUACUGGCUAUAAGUGUAUAGUGUUAAUUAAUAGGACAAAGGUAUUUAGAGUAGCUUAGAAUGUUAAAGAAAAUAUCAUUAUAGCUUUCAUAAGGAAAUGCACUAAAUGAUACCCCCGAGGGAAAAUUCUGACUGGACUAUAUAUAUAAACCUAAAACUGAGAGAAAGUAUUGUUGUAAUUUCACAUCUCAAAGUGAGCUCAGAUUUAAUGUGAUUGUUUUGUAAUAUGCAUGUUUUGUCUUCCUAUUAAUAUAUGCUUUUAUCAGUUGGUUAAAGUGCCUAGAGUGGUUUCAUUCUUUUUUUUUUUUUUCUUGAACUCAUCUUAAUUUAUUUUUCUUUCUUUCUUUUUUGGUACCAGGGAUCGAACUCAGCAGGCAGCCACUGAGCUAAAACCCCAGCCCUCUUUUUUUAUCUUUGCUGUUAGAGAUUUCUGGAUCUGCUAAGACCUUGCAUAAAAAAAAUAGUUAUACAGAUAUCCAAGGAUUACCAAACUCCCUUAAAAAGAGGACAAAAACUACUAGGCUGAAGACUUAUGUGAAACUUGCAAAUAAGAAUCUUAAAUUUCAGUAACAUAAAGAUUUUGUAAUUUAGGUUAAUAUGUAUGUUUCUGUGCAUUCAUUGUCAGGUAUAUUUUAUCCUUCAAAAGUUUAAGUUGGCUUAUAAACAAAUGAUGUAUAUUAACCCAAAUACUUUGUUCCCAUGACUUAAAGUGAGCUGGUUCAAAUUGGUUGGUAAGAU
ensembl:lncRNA